rfam:Salmo salar isolate Sally breed double haploid chromosome ssa03, whole genome shotgun sequence.
UACAUUCACUACUGUAAGUCGCUCUGGAUAAGAGCGUCUGCUAAACGACUAAAA